ensembl:rRNA 5S_rRNA 5S ribosomal RNA
GUCUACAGCCAUACCACCCUGAACACGCCCGAUCUCGUCUGAUCUCGGAAACUAAGCAGGGUCGGGCCUGGCUAGUACUUGAAUGAGAGAAGUUAAAAAGGAUGAUAAAACCAAUUAAUGGUGGGUC